UGGGGAAUAUUGGACAAUGGGCGAAAGCCUGAUCCAGCCAUGCCGCGUGUGUGAAGAAGGUCUUCGGAUUGUAAAGCACUUUAAGUUGGGAGGAAGGGCAUUAACCUAAUACGUUAGUGUUUUGACGUUACCGACAGAAUAAGCACCGGCUAACUCUGUGCCAGCAGCCGCGGUAAUACAGAGGGUGCAAGCGUUAAUCGGAAUUACUGGGCGUAAAGCGCGCGUAGGUGGUUUGUUAAGUUGGAUGUGAAAGCCCCGGGCUCAACCUGGGAACUGCAUCCAAAACUGGCAAGCUAGAGGACGGUAGAGGGUGGUGGAAUUUCCUGUGUA
rnacentral:rRNA from 1 species